AGUGAACGCUGGCGGUAGGCCUAACACAUGCAAGUCGAACGGCAGCACAGUAAGAGCUUGCUCUUACGGGUGGCGAGUGGCGGACGGGUGAGGAAUACAUCGGAAUCUACUUUUUCGUGGGGGAUAACGUAGGUAAACUUACGCUAAUACCGCAUACGACCUACGGGUGAAAGCAGGGGAUCUUCGGACCUUGCGCGAUUGAAUGAGCCGAUGUCGGAUUAGCUAGUUGGCGGGGUAAAGGCCCACCAAGGCGACGAUCCGUAGCUGGUCUGAGAGGAUGGUCGGCGACACUGGAACUGGGACACGGUCAAGACUCCUACGGGAGGGAGCAGUGGGGAAUAUUGGACAAUGGGCGCAAGCCUGAUCCAGCCAUACCGCGUGGGUGAAGAAGGCCUUCGGGUUGUAAAGCCCUUUUGUUGGGAAAGAAAAGCAGCAGGUUAAUACCCCGCUGUUCUGACGGUACCCAAAGAAUAAGCACCGGCUAACUUCGUG
rnacentral:rRNA from 1 species